GACGAACGCUGGCGGCGUGCUUAACACAUGCAAGUCGAACGGUAAGGCUCCAGCUUGCUGGGGUACACGAGUGGCGAACGGGUGAGUAACACGUGGGUGACCUGCCCUGCACUUCGGGAUAAGCCUGGGAAACUGGGUCUAAUACCGGAUAGGACUGCACCGUGAGGGUGUGGUGGAAAGUUUUUUCGGUGUGGGAUGGGCCCGCGGCCUAUCAGCUUGUUGGUGGGGUAAUGGCCUACCAAGGCGGCGACGGGUAGCCGGCCUGAGAGGGUGGACGGCCACAUUGGGACUGAGACACGGCCCAGACUCCUACGGGAGGCAGCAGUGGGGAAUAUUGCACAAUGGGCGGAAGCCUGAUGCAGCGACGCCGCGUGGGGGAUGACGGCCUUCGGGUUGUAAACUCCUUUCACCAUCGACGAAGGGUUUCUGACGGUAGAUGGAGAAGAAGCACCGGCUAACUACGUGCCAGCAGCCGCGGUAAUACGUAGGGUGCGAGCGUUGUCCGGAAUUACUGGGCGUAAAGAGCUCGUAGGUGGUUUGUCGCGUCGUCUGUGAAAUUCCGGGGCUUAACUCCGGGCGUGCAGGCGAUACGGGCAUAACUUGAGUACUGUAGGGGAGACUGGAAUUCCUGGUGUAGCGGUGAAAUGCGCAGAUAUCAGGAGGAACACCGGUGGCGAAGGCGGGUCUCUGGGCAGUAACUGACGCUGAGGAGCGAAAGCAUGGGGAGCGAACAGGAUUAGAUACCCUGGUAGUCCAUGCCGUAAACGGUGGGCGCUAGGUGUGGGUUUCCUUCCACGGGAUCCGUGCCGUAGCUAACGCAUUAAGCGCCCCGCCUGGGGAGUACGGCCGCAAGGCUAAAACUCAAAGGAAUUGACGGGGGCCCGCACAAGCGGCGGAGCAUGUGGAUUAAUUCGAUGCAACGCGAAGAACCUUACCUGGGCUUGACAUAUACAGGAUCGCGCCAGAGAUGGUGUUUCCCUUGUGGCUUGUAUACAGGUGGUGCAUGGUUGUCGUCAGCUCGUGUCGUGAGAUGUUGGGUUAAGUCCCGCAACGAGCGCAACCCUUGUCUUAUGUUGCCAGCACGUUGUGGUGGGGACUCGUAAGAAACUGCCGGGGUUAACUCGGAGGAAGGUGGGGAUGACGUCAAAUCAUCAUGCCCCUUAUGUCCAGGGCUUCACACAUGCUACAAUGGUCGGUACAGUGGGUUGCCAGUCCGCGAGGGCGAGCUAAUCCCGCAAAGCCGGUCUCAGUUCGGAUCGGGGUCUGCAACUCGACCCCGUGAAGUCGGAGUCGCUAGUAAUCGCAGAUCAGCAACGCUGCGGUGAAUACGUUCCCGGGCCU
rnacentral:rRNA from 1 species